rnacentral:lncRNA from 1 species
UUUUUGUUAUUUUGCACUUAAAUACUUUUAUGCAUUAAAUUAACAAAUUUUGGAUACUUAUAGAACUUUGUUUUAUACUAUAAUAUUUUUUAGUAAGGCUAUUUUUUGUCAUUACGAGGAGUGUGAUGUUAUUCACUUUGAUAUCACCUACAAGGAACAUUAAAUGUCAUUAGUGAGCUCGAUAUGAGUGGAUGAUAAUGCUCCAUGUAUAAAAUAAUAAUAUAUAAGUAUCUAAAAUUUGUUGAGUAUAACUACAAAAUGCUCUUUUGUGUGAGGCCUAACAUAACCUUUUAGAUAUUCUUAAUUUUUUUUUAAGGAGGUAUGAAAUUGAAAUGAAUAAAUAAAGUAUGACCUCAAAAUAAUACUAGAGAUUAUUUAACCCUUGAAUAAUAUUUCAUUUAUUUAUUGUUUUUAAGUCAUUUAGUGAGAAAGAUAGGUCCCUACCCGUUGCUUCAAAUAGUUUAGGAGUUAGAUUUUUUACAGGUGUUAGUGAUAAUAAAAACCACAACGUAGUGACCAAGGUGUAGGGGUACUACUACCAUGACGACCCAUUACGCCAUGGAAAAGUAUAGAAUGGGGCCAUUUACCUUUGGUACAAGGUGGUCACAAUUAAUCUUGACCAUUGGAUAUGAAAUUGGGCUAUUUAAUUUAUUCCAUUGACCAUGGUCAAAAUUCAAAAAAUAAAAUUUCAAACAUUGUGACACACCAAAGCUAUUAAAUUUUAUAUCACAUAGUUGUAAGGAAUUGUGAUCACCUUGUAUCAAAGGUAAAUGGUCUUAUUGUAUACAAUCUCGUACGUCAAUUAGCCAAUUGUUAAAUGAGUAAAGCACAAUAAAGUGAAUUGAUAAUAAUAAUAAUAAUAAAAGGGUUAUGUUAGGGUGUUCCCACUAUGGAGCAUUUUAGAAUUGUACUCAACAAUUUUGGAUUUUUUUUUUUUGACCAAAGUUAUAAUGUUUUAUUACUUAAUUAGGCAUCGAUUACAUCAUUCAAUAAAAGAAAUGGAAUACAUAGAAACCCCCCUCUUAGCAAGCGCAUCAGCCUCAAAGUUGCCCUCCCUUUAUACAUGCUAAAAGAAAAUAGAAAAAGAAGCCGCCAAAUCCAUCACUUGAUCCCAAAGUGAUUUGAGAGACCAAGGAACUCGUUGCUCAUUUUUACACCACCUAAUGACAUUCAAGGAAUCACCUUCAACCAAUAUAAAGUUCCCCAGAUUCAUAUUGUUAAUGAAACAUAGACCGAAGAGCACUGAGGUAAUAUCCACACAAUUGGCCGUAGUGUGACCAAUCGGGCCAGCAUAGGCU